GUGAAUCCGAAAGCAAUGUUUUGGAGCGAACCAGAGCAGGGCCUGCGACGAAGGAAGGAGGGCCAUAACCCCCUACUUUUUUGCAAAACAAUAGAGCUUUUUCUAAAACCUUUUGUUAUGGGUAUCAAAUUUUCAAAUUUCCCCUUACCCCCUCCCCCCCCCACUUUUCAAACUGUGUCGGAGCCCAUGAACAAAGAAUAAGCCCAUCCAUGAUACGAGUUGAAUCGAUGUAAAUAACUUAGAUUAGCCAAGUUUACAAAAAUUUUCAGUGGUCUAAGUCGCUAUCGUAACAAUUCGCAAUUAUGAAUGGCAGGUGACAACGUUUGCACACGAACCUAAAAAAGAUAAGUUAUCAAUGAAAAAUUAUUUCUUUUUUAUUGUUAGUCGAUGGAAACAUUUACAAGCAAUAAAUCAGUCGGCGGAUGCUUACUUUGCAUUUCUUUGAAUAUUUCUUUGAAUAUCGUUGUCCAAUCUUUGCUUCUUUAGACAAAUUGUUAAAGCUGAACAAAUGUUAUUCUCUGGCAGAACUCUUUAAAAGUCUGAAAACAAACAAACCGGCAGUAGCUGAAAUAAUUCUGAAUCGCUAGCUGUUAGAUAUUUUUGAAGAGAAGGAGACCUUUGCUCUGACAAAGAAAGAGAGAGAACAACGUUCUACUUAGGAAAAACAUUUAUAGCAUCAAUUUUCUACGGAGGGGUUGAUCGAUUUGAAACGUGCAAAGUUGUGCCAGAGGGACAGCAACAUUUUAACUUCUGCAAGACUCUCUUUGUUUCUUUUUAAUUUAUGCACGUGCUGACUAACUUUUACUUCUCACCUUUCGUUGCUUUGUUUAUUGCUUUGUUUGUUAUAUUUUUGGACCCAGUCUCCACAACUAUAUAUGCUGUGCACACGAUUUUUUUGGGCGUUGUAUUCCGGUAUAUCAUUGAACUAGAAGUCACGGAGAAUUGAAUUAAAAGACACGGAGGGCGUUUUUCUAAAGCGGAAGACUUGUAAGUUGAGGCACGUGUACAGUUAGUUGGUCAUGCAAAUACAGUUAUAGAGGCAAAUAGAUUCAAACCACGUUCUGAGUUUAAUCAAAUUGCGUUGAUUUUUGUGUUUUCUGAUGAGACGCAGGAGUUGAUUUGAACUUGAGCCACAUUUGGUGCCAUAAUCGAAAUGACUCUUCCCAAAACAUCAAAAGCAUUGUUCUUUCAAGAACUUUCUAAAGCCGAAUUCACUGCAGUCCUAGUCACAAACUUGAUAAUUAUGUUACUAAAUAUGUUAAUGAAUAUAUUCCUAUGCCGUGCCAUUCUAAAACUACGUCUUUUGAGAAGCUUCACUUUCUACUUCAUCCUGAGUAUGUCCAUUUCGGAUCUUUGCAUUGGAGUGUUUGUGAAUGGCAGCACAACAGUCAUACUGGUUCUGCGGAUUCAUGGAGCGAUUGUAAGCAAUGUUUAUUAUUUGUUUCUUCAAGUGUGCUACAUUACUUUUGGCCUAUUUUCAACGGAGAUGCUGCUAACAAUAGCCUUCGAUCGCUUUCUCCAUAUAAGGCAUUUAAAUUUCUACAAUGCAUACAUGACAAAGAGGAAAGUCUUCUUGUUGAUUUUCGGAAAUGGAAGCAUUAGCAUAGUGCUCGGGAUAAUGUCUGGGUAUAGUAUAUUGCUGAAAGUUGAUUUUUAUGUCAAUAUUGUACUGACUGUUUUAGGUUUAACUGUAAUGUUCUUUGUAAUUCUAUUGUACAAAAAGUUAAUUUUCACUUUUCGGAAUCGUGUUGAAAAUUCUCAGCUCUCGAAUAGACAUCGCAGCGAUUUGCUGCUUUUGAAAGGAGUUGUUGCCAUAGUUUUAUCUUUGAUUGUUUGCUAUUUGCCUUUUAUCUUGUUUAACAUAAUAAUUUUCUAUGUAAAUGACAGUUCUAAAAUGCUUUUAGUAUAUUUGUUGCUGUUUGAACUUUUACUUUUGGAACCAUGCAUAAAUUCAACCAUUCUCAUUAGCUAUAAUAAGAAACUAAGGAGAUACUUUUUAUCAUUUUUUCAAAAGCAACUUGACGAUGAAAUUAGCCACCAAUAGGUCUUGUCUAAAAAUGUUUUAGAUGUAUAUGUAAAAGUGUGACUCGUUUCUGAAAGUCUGAGCUUAGCCAAGGCAAUCAAUAUUUGUAUAUUAGGAUGAUAUUUGAUUGAUGAACAACAGGGAAAAAACACAAAUCAACGAGGAGCAAUUCGAUAUCAGCAAAUACGUUAUGAAAAAGCAAGCUUCUAAAAGUAAAGGACAAGCUUUCUUUACUGAAAUUUUUGGUUUUAAAUUGAGAUUCAUUUUAUGUUGUAUUGCUCCUUGUUUUUUGCAUUGUUCCUGCCAAUCUAAUGUCGACUCUCUUUACAAACGCAAUGUUGCAUCUUUAGAAGAAAACUGGGAAGAAAAGGAAAUACUUGCUACUUAUACCUUACUUUUAACAUUUCGUCAAAAACAAAAUGGUAGCAAAUUUUCGUCAGGAAGAAAGAUAUUUUGCAACUGUACAAGUGUCGUUGCAAUGUUUUAUGACGAUCAACUGAAAAUUCGUCGAAUGGAAAUCCGCAUAUAAUAGCAACUUUGAUUGGUCAAUGAUUUCUGUUGGUUGCAUAAAGUAUGCAAAAAAAGAUUUCAUCUAUUCCAAAUAGGCGUAAGAUCUUUGUCCAUUUUGAUAGCCACAAAAGGAAUAAAGAGUUUUAUUUCAUUAUUUAUACUCUUUAUAAGGAACUCUACUAUUCUUAGCCAAUCAGGUAGGCGAAAGAUUGCCUUUAAGAUUCACGAAGGAUUGAUUUUUUUGCUUUACGAACGUUGUUAAACUGCAUCAUUAAAAGUUACAAGUUGUCACUGACAUUCAUGAAAGUUCAUAUUUUGAUAAAGAAUGGAGUUUGUUUCAUAUGACUACAAGCAAAGAACAUAAACAUUUCCUUGUUUUAUGUAGAGUACACAUAAUGGUUUACUAAGCUUAGUUUAUAGUUGGUAUAUCGUGUAAUGUUACACUCGUGUUGUCAGUUGAUAACAAUCAUUUGAUAUCAAUCAGUUGAUAAAAUUAAUUGACUAUUUUGAUUCAAAGACUUUCAAAAUAUUUAUCUCAGUUGGCAAUUGCUCAUUUCUUGUAUUGCUACCUUUGUCAAACUUUUCGCAACGUAUCUUUUUUCCUAAAAUAUUCUUUGGUCAGUUAUUAUCUGAAAAAAGCACAGAAGAGCGUAAACAUAUCAUAUCAUACCAGGUACUUUUGCGGUACCAAACGCAUAUUUGGUCAUUUACUAUCGUCGACAACCAACAUUCUGCAUCUCUUUUUUCUGGAGACACAGAAAAUGAUUCUCCUCAACCACUCAGUACCAAAGGGAAGUCAAAGGCCAUGGACAUCAGUGUUUGUUUUUCACGACUAAAUUCUACCCAGAGCGUUAAUAACACAUUACAAUGUGCCUUCUUUACAGAAUGGUAUCAUAUCAUCAUAUCCAUGUUUCUGACAGCUGUUAAGGCGCAAUACCGCAAGGAAGGCGCACAACAAAUUUGUCUACUGUUUUUAUAUAUAUUUUAUGGGGUAACACAUCAAAGAGGGUAUGUUCAAACAUUGGCGGAACGUACCCCCCCCCCCGUACUCUUUUACGAAGUUGGCCCUUGAGAUUCUAGCCAACCCGAUGAGAAAACUUCGGGGAGGGAGGGGGUAUGUACGUUAUCUAGAUCGUCAAAAGCUGAUUUUGGUGUGAAGCAAUAACAUUAUUUUCCAUGUACAAUUAUCACCUUGUCAGUAAUUUUGUAGAUUACCGUCCUUUUUUCUUGAUAUUGUUUACAAUGAUAUAAAAUCUUUUUUUAAAAUGCAGCGAGACUUAAUUGUCCAUCAAUAGCAAAAUAUUGUCUAGCUUCAAUGGUUUAAAAAAAAUUAAAUUUACCAUCUUAUAAUAUAAAAUAUAUUGUUGUUCUUACAAUCCAACAUAAGGACAGGAAUGAACGCAUAAAACCAGCUUUCCGCAUUUCUUGCAUUUUCUAUUACGUCUUACUGAUUAACUCGAAUAAGAGUUACAUUUAUGUAAAAACAAGCUGGCUAAAUAAAACAAGUUGUAAUUUUUUCAAAAUUGAACAGUCACGAAAAUUCUUAUGUAAUUAAAAGGUAAUUCUUCAUCGCUACGUGGAUUCAUACUAGAGAUUUUAUACAAUAUAGUUCAGCGUAUGUUUAUAAAUUAAGAGUUCUACAGCUACACCUGUCAUAUUAAAUUGAACUUUACAUAAAAAUCAUUACAAAAGGAAUUUGUUUGCAUGACACAUAGAAAAGUUUACAUAUAUACAUAGUUUACAAAGCUGUUUACCCGAACUUCCUGUUUUUUAUCAAUAUUUUAUUGUCAAGAUUCUUUACUAAAGUUGAAAAGAUAGCGCUUAAGUUGAAGUGCGUUAUCGGCCGAAUUGGGAAAAUUUAAAGCCACUGAACCAGUCGACUUUGUCUAACGCUCGAAUUUCAAUUGAUAAAUCUUUAAAUUUCUACAUAGAAUGAUUUCUACAGAUUUCUUCUUUCUUAUGAUAAUCACCUUCAAAUGAUUUUUUCAAACAUAAAAAGAUAUUUUACUGUAUUCUCAGUCUUCAUUAUAUUAGCCACCUGUCAACGUGGGUCAAUUUUUUUCGUCUGAUAAUUGGUUGCUGAUGAAAAAAGGUACUCAAAUGCGUAAGUUAUUCAUUUGCUAUUCGAUUGAAUUUCUCUCACCUGCUAAUUUUAGCUGGAGUGUACAAGAUACAACAAAGAAAUAAUUGUUUUCCACUUGAAAUUUGCAAAAAACCAACAAAAUAAAGAAACAUGAAGAGUGGAAGAUUGAGAAUCAACUGGAAUUUCACGAGGAUACAAAGACUUGCUCAAGAAGGCGAUGUCAAUGUCUCUUUAGAGCUUUGCUAUCAGAGCAUGGUAGAAAGAGAAUUGCUUGCAGCCUUGGUUCUGAAUGUAACUGUUAUGGCAUUGAGUGAAUCAUUAAAUCUCAUUAUGUGUCGUGAAAAUUAGUAGCCGAUGAAAUUAUAAUUCUACUGUCUUCCCUGAUUUAUAAAAAAUGGACAAAAUUAUUGCCAUUUUUAUAUUUCAUUUGGUUAUUUUGCUAGCCUGAUGCUGGCAAUGGUCGCAACAGAUCGAUACAUUUUUGCAUCCUGUCUUCAAUUAAUUCGUCAUUAAUUAUGUUCAUGUUUGCCUCAUUUUGGUGCCCUAUUUUGUAUUUUUGGGUAAUGUUAAGCUUUGGCAAAACAAUUAGUACUGCUAGGUAUGUCAAAAAUCUUGACAGGUAUUUAUCUCAAGAUUUAAUGGAGUAAAAAUAUGUCUGCCUCGCAACGAUAAUGAAAAUAAAUAGUAGUAUUUGCAAUAAGCAUAAGAUAAUUUUGAGAUUUGCGUUUCAUACUGAUCUGGAAGGCAGGUAUGUUGGAGGCCCAAAAGUGAAUCCGAAAGCAAUGUUUUGGAGCUGUGCAGGGCAGGGCCUGCGACGAAGGAGGGAGGGCCAUAAUCCCCUAAUUUUUUGCAAAACAACACAGCUUUUUCUAAAACCUUAUGUUAUGGCUGUCAAAUUUUUAAAUUUCCCCUUACCCCCCUCCCCUUCCCCACUUUCCAACCUAUGUCGGAGCCCAUGAACAGAGAAAAAGCCCAUCCAUGAUACGAGUUAAACCAAGUUUACAAAAUUUUUCAGUGGUCUAAGUCGCUAUCGUAACAAUUCGCGAUUAUGAAUGGCAGGUGACAACGUUUGCACAAAAACGUCAAAGAGAUAAGUUAUCAAUAAAAAAUUAUUUCUUUGUUAUUGUUAGUCGAUGGAAACAUUUACAAGCAAUAAAUCUUUGACAGUCGGCGGAUGCUUACAUUGCAUUUCUUUGAGUAUUCGUUGUCCAAUCUUUGCUUCUUUAGACAAACUGUUAAAGCUGAACAAAUGUUAUUCUCUGGCAGAACUCUUUAAAAGUCUGAAAACAAACAAACCGGCAGUAGCUGAAAUAAUUCUGAAUCGCUAGCUGUUAGAUAUUCUUGAAGAGAAGGAGACUUUUGCUCUGACAAAGAAAGAGAGAGAGAGCAACGUUCUACUUAGGAAAAACAUUUAUAGCAUCAAUUUUCUACGGAGGGGUUGAUCGAUUUGAAACGUGCAAAGUUGUGCCAGAGGGACAGCAACAUUUUAACUUCUGCAAGACUCUCUUUGUUUCUUUUUAAUUUAUGCACGUGCUGACUAACUUUUACUUCUCACCUUUCGUUGCUUUGUUUAUUGCUUUGUUUGUUAUAUUUUUGGACCCAGUCUCCACAACUAUAUAUGCUGUGCACACGAUUUUUUUGGGCGUUGUAUUCCGGUAUAUCAUUGAACUACAAGUCACGGAGAGUUGAAUUAAAAGACACGGAGGGCGUUUUUCUAAAGCGGAAGACUUGUAAGUUGCGGCAAGUGUACAGUUAGUUGGUCAUGCAAAUACAGUUAUAGAGGCAAAUAGAUUCAAACCACGUUCUGAGUUUAAUCAAAUUGCGUUGAUUUUUGUGUUUUCUGAUGAGACGCAAAAGUUGGUUUGAACUUGAGCCACGUUUGGUGCAAUAAUCGAAAUGACUCUUCCCAAAGCAUCAAGAACAUUGCUCUAUCAAGAACUUUCUAAAGCCGAAUUCACUGCAGUCCUAGUCACAAACUUGAUAAUUAUGGUACUAAAUAUGUUAAUGAAUAUAUUCCUAUGCCGUGCCAUUCUAAAACUACGUCUUUUGAGAAGCUUCACUUUCUACUUCAUCCUGAGUAUGUCCAUUUCGGAUCUUUGCAUUGGAGUGUUUGUGAAUGGCAGCACAACAGUCAUACUGGUUCUGCGGAUUCAUGGAGCGAUUGUAAGCAAUGUAUAUUAUUUGUUUCUUCAAGUGUGCUACAUUACUUUUGGCCUAUUUUCAGCGAAGAUGCUGCUAACAAUAGCCUUCGAUCGCUUUCUCCAUAUAAGGCAUUUAAAUUUCUACAAUGCAUACAUGACAAAGAGGAAAGUCUUCUUGUUGAUUUUCGGAAAUGGAAGCAUUAGCAUAGUGCUCGGGAUAAUGUCUGGGUAUAGUAUAUUGCUGAAAGUUGAUUUUUAUGUUAAUAUUGUACUGACUGUUUUAGGUUUAACUGUAAUGUUCUUUGUAAUUCUAUUGUACAAAAAGUUAAUUUUCACUUUUCGGAAUCGUGUUGAAAAUUCUCAGCUCUCGAAUAGACAUCGCAGCGAUUUGCUGCUUUUGAAAGGAGUUGUUGCCAUAGUUUUAUCUUUGAUUGUUUGCUAUUUGCCUUUUAUCUUGUUUAACAUGAUAAUUUUCUAUGUAAAAGAAAGUUCUAAAAUGCUUUUAGUAUAUUUGUUGCUGUUUGAACUUUUACUUUUGGAACCAUGCAUAAAUUCAGCCAUUCUCAUUAGCUAUAAUAAGAAACUAAGGAGAUACUUUUUAUCAUUUUUUCAAAAGCAACUUGACGAUGAAAUUAGCCACCAAUAGGUCUUGUCUAAAAACGUUUUAGAUUUAUAUGUAAAAGUGUGACUCGUUUCUGAAAGUCUGAGCUUAGCCAAGGCAAUCAGUAUUUGUAUAUUAGGAUGGUUAUUUGAUUGAUGAACAACAAGGAAAAAACGCAAAUCAACGAGGAGCAAUUCGAUAUCAGCAAAUACGUUAUGAAAAAGCAAGCUUCUUAAAGUAAAGGACAAGCUUUCUUUACUGAAAUUUUUGGUUUUAAAAUGAGAUUCAUUUUAUGUUGUAUUGCUCCUUGUUUUUUGCAUUGCUCCUGCCAAUCUAAUGUCGACUCUCUUUACAAACGCAAUGUUGCAUCUUUAGAAGAAAACUGGGAAGAAAAGGAACUACUUGCUACUUAUACCUUACUUUUAACAUUUCGUCGUAAACAAAAUCUUCAAAAUUCUCAUCAGGAAAAAAGAUAUUUUGCAACUGUACAAGUGUCGUUGCGAUUUUUUAUGACGAUUAUCUCAAAAUUCGUCUAAUGGAAAUCCGCAUAUAAUAGCAACUUUGAUUGUUCAAUGAUUUCUGUUGGUUGCAUAAAGUAUACAAAAGAAGAUUUCAUCAAAUCCAAAUUGGCGUAAGAUCUUUAUCAAUUUUUAUAGCCACAAAAGGAAUAAAGACCUCAGAGUUUUAUUUCCCUAUUUAUACUCUCUUAAUAAAGGACUCUGCUAUUUUUAGCCAAUCAGGUAGGCAAAAGAUUGCCUUUAAGAUUCACGGAGGAUUGAUUAUUUUGCUUUACGAACGUUGUUAAAUUGCAUCAUUAAAAGUUACAAGUUGUCACUGACAUUCAUGAAAGUUCAUAUUUUGAUAAAGAGUGGAGUUUGUUUCAUAUAACUACAAGCAAAGAACAAUAAACAUUUUCUUGAUUUAUGUAGAGUACAUAUAAUGGUUUACUAAGCUUAGUUUAUAGUUGAUAUAUCGUGAAACGUUACACUCGUUUAAACUCGUUUUUACAAUCAGUUGAUAAAAUUAAUUGACUGUUGUGAUUCAAAUACUAUGUACGUUAUCUAGAUCGUCAAAAGCUGAUUUUGUUGUGAAGCGAUAACAUCAUUUUCCAUGUACAAUUAUCACCUUGUCAGUAAUUAUAUAGAUUACCCUCCUUUUUUUCUUGACAUUGUCUACAAUGCUAUAAAAUCUUUUUAAAUAUGCAGCUAGAAAGAUAUUUCCAAUGAAUUGACUUAUCAAAUCUUCGAAAACAAUUUGCCAUCAAAUCGAGGAAGCCUAUUUAUAGUCCAUAAUAUUAAACAGCUAAAAACUUGGUUUAUCGACUAGAAAUUUGUAUCCCCUCAAAAGCUUUUGUGAACUAUUUUUACCUUGACCAGAUCGUUGCAUUAGAUUUCGUGACAGUGUAGCUUUUUAAAAGUUUUUACUAGUAACACUUGAUUAUAGGUUUUUUGUUAAUUUAACAUACGUAAAACUUCUAAUUUCAAAACUUUGAAAUUAAGUUUCAAGCCAAAGUGUUCAAUAUCAACGGUUCAUUAAAUGACAGUUCUUGGGAGACAAGAAGUGUUUCCUAAGAAAUAAAAUGCUUCUCGCAGAAAAAGGGCGCGGUCAAAAAGGGCCUGGUCCCAGACCCCCUUUUGUCCCUCCCACUUAUCCCGGGCUGGAGCCGCCACUGUGUUUAAGUGCCAAACAUUGUUUAGAACAUCGCUCUUUUUGGGCAUAUUUUCGACGUCACUAUGAUUACAAGGAGCUGUAUCGCCGAGGAGAAAUUUGAAAACAAUUUGUAAAGAUAUCAAUCAAAUUCUCUUUUCAAAAUAUUAUCUUGGCAAAUAUGGAGUUUUCUUGCAAAAAGAAAUGAUAGAUGAGCAGUGAAAACCUCUAAACAAAGAAGGAACCGAGAGAAAAUGAUGAAUACAGUCAACAGAUCUUUUUAUCAAAGCACAUGAUUUCUUUAAGACAAUACUUCUGGCUAUAAGUAAACUAUUUGCAAGCACGAACAUGUUAACAAAAAACUCAGUUUUCAGCGUUAAAAUACGAAUCAACAAUCUUAAUGAAAUAUCAAUAUCAAUUCACGUAAACAUAAUAUCAAUUUGAAUAUUAGAUGACUUAUCUCAUUAUUUGUAAUUUUUGGCAGAGAAACAUAUUGCUUUUGGCUUUUUUCACCAAGAAUUAUCUGGACAACACAAUAAUUUCUGCGCAAGGUUUGUCGAGCAAAUCUUAUUGUAUGGUCAAACAUAAUUCAGAUAAAUCAGCAAUAAUUACAGGAGUAGCUAAUCGCAAAAAUGAAAUUAUUGUCAUAUUGGUGUUCUAAGAUCUUGCCUGGUAGCUGCAAACAACAAUACAAGUUAACCAUAUUUAGACUUUCUAAACACUAACCAUAUUUAGACUUAGACAAAAUAAACUCUCUAAACACUAGUUUGUCUUCUGCAAACCAUCGAAUUGAGAUGCCUUCUCAUUUUACGGUUAGAUAAUAACAGUAUCAUUGAAUUGACGCUCGAUUCUGACAAAGCAAUCUGAAAUAGCCAAGCGUAGAUAAGUGAUUUGUGUCUGUCUUCUUCGUCAGCAUUUGUAGCUUUGGCUUUAUAGUAGAAGAAAAAGUUGUAUGAAACGAAAGGCAGAUAACAAAUCAUUAUAGAGACCACUAUAGCAAAAAUCCCUUUGAGAAGCUGCAGAUCAGCACGAUGUCGAUUUGGGAAUUGAAAAGUCACCACGUGAUUUCGAAAAGCCAAGAAUAUCUUUGCGUAAAAGACAAGGAUCGUUGCAACGAUAAUGAAAUAUAGAAUCGUUAAAACAGUAACAACGUAGAAAAUUGUUCCAUGCCUUGAACCAAAAAAGAACAUAAAACCAGAUACAAUGCUUGUACAGAUGUUUCCUAAUAUCAUGCAAAGCGACUUUUUCUUUGUCAUAUGGGCAUUGUAAAAAUCCAAAUACUUUGUGUGAAGAUAUCGAUCAAAAGCAAUCAUGACCAGCGAGAUGGCAGAGAACUGACCAAAGACAACGUAACACACUUUGUAUGCCGUGUGGAGUUCUUCGGUAAUUUCUGAUUCAAGAAGGUGAGCUAAAAAAUGCGUUGACAGCAAGGAUUGCACACAGAUUCCGAUUAUAAAGUCAGAUAUCGCCAAACUUAAGAUGAAAUGGUAAGCGAUAUUUCGCAAAAGACCAAGUUUCAGAAUUGUGCGGCACAGAAUGUUAUUCAGUGCUAUAUUGAUUAUUGACAAGACUGUAUUGGAAACCAGUAAGACGAUCAUACCAGAUCUAGAGAGACUCUUCAUAACUGUUUUUCCAUAAAGUACAACUUUUACCCUGCAAAGCAGAAUUUUCGUCUGUUACUUUUCUGACAACCAUCCAACUUCUACAAAAAGUUACAAAGCUUUUCACCUGUCUAAACAAAAUAAAUUGUUAAAUGAUAAGCUCAAUUUUAUUCAGCUGUCAAGAAACUUUUCGAAUAUAGAAGUGUUUGCUUGUCUCUAAAGGCAAUUGAAAGCUGCUCCAAUAUAGGUUUUUGAUAUUAUCUUAUGAUAAAGGUAUUAAAGCAUAAAAUGUCUCUCCUCCGUCAUAGUAUCAUCUCAAACCCAGCCUUUCAGUCGUGUUUGAAUCAGUUCCGUGUGAAGAGAUAGCUUUACUUACUCCCUCACACAGCUGAAAAUAACGAAAGUGAAAUAAAACUAUAUCGCUAUCGCUCCCGAGGGGCAAAUCACUGCUUAAAAUCAUGUACGCUCUCAAGAAUAAUCACACUUUAAUCAAAAAUUAAUCA